AUUUGGUGAUGGGGGCAGCUAGCACACAACUUCUUAAAUCACUCCCAGUAUUCAUAGAGAGUCUCACCACUGCACUGUCAAAUUCCACAAAUUUCCUUCCUUAUACU